AGGGAUAUAGUUUAAUGGUAGAAUAGCGGUCUCCAAAACCGUUGAUGGGGGUUCGAUUCCCUCUAUCCCUGCCA
rnacentral:tRNA from 9 species